AUACGGAGGGGGUUAGCGUUGUUCGGAAUUACUGGGCGUAAAGCGUACGUAGGCGGAUCGGAAAGUAAGGGGUGAAAUCCCAGGGCUCAACCCUGGAACUGCCUCUUAAACUCCCGGUCUUGAGUUCGAGAGAGGUGAGUGGAAUUCCUAGUGUAGAGGUGAAAUUCGUAGAUAUUAGGAGGAACACCAGUGGCGAAGGCGGCUCACUGGCUCGAUACUGACGCUGAGGUACGAAAGUGUGGGGAGCAAACAGGAUUAGAAACCCUAGUAGUCC
rnacentral:rRNA from 1 species